rnacentral:ncRNA from 2 species
ACUAUAUAUAGUGUUCGAGGUUCCCUCGAUUCGGUUUCGGAUCAGGGGCUAAGAUGGGAAUUCGGUAGCGGGCAUGAUGUCCGUGAAGCCGAGGCUGCCCCCGCAACUGUGAACGGUGAGCGCUGGUUCAAUUUAGCCACUGGGUUUUCCUGGGAAGGCGGAACAAGUGCUGCGACCCGUGAGCCAGGAGACCUGCCUUGAUCGAAACGUCCGC